ACAAAAACGUCCGUUGUUGCAUGUGAGCAGGAAGAUGGUUGUGUUUUCGUCUCUCAGCUGAAUAUUUCAGUUUCAGCAACAAUGUCUUCAGUUCAGCAUCUGAGAGAGUUUAUCAGCAAGCGACUAACUGCUGCUGCUGAAGAAAUAUUCACAGAGUUUGAAAAAACCAUCGUCCAGUACGAAGAAGAGAUCGAUCGUCAGCGCAGACUGAAUACCAGCUGGAAACCACAGAAAAAGUUAAACAGAACAGACCUCCCUGAGCAACGUGUCCACAAGGAGGAAGAAGUUCUCACUGACCAGCAACUCUGUGACCAAGAGAGGAACUCCAGUCUGGACCAGGAGGAAUCUCCAGAGAUUAAACAAGAGCAGGAGGAACUUUGCGCCCGACAACAGGGAGAGCAGUUCGUACUGAAGCAGGAGACUGAGAACUCUAUAUUAGUUUCCACUUGGCAGGAAAUUGACUUCAGUGAGGCAGAAACAAACGCUGACCAGCUUUCCUCACAUAACUCCCCCUCACCUGAGAUUCAAAAUCAGGAAGUAAACAAUCACACAGACUUAGAAACAACUAGAGAGAUGGAGACGAAGCCAAAAAACAAUCAUAAAAGAAAAAGAAGACACUGUAAUGCUGAAGAUAACUCACCAGCUUUAGAGAGUCAGUUUGAUUCUGAUACAAGUAGAAAUGUUUUGAUGUUUGACGUUAGUGGAAAAUCCUUUAGAAGUGGGACAAAUAUGGAGCAAGAUGACAGAAUAAACACAGGAAAAAAGCCGUAUGAAAGAAAGAAAAGAUUUAACCAACAAAAAAUCCAACAGGAUCAUAAAUUUGCUCCUUGUGAAAGUUGUGGGAAACUGUUUUCUAAGCAGUAUUUGUCCAUCCACAUGAGAACCCACACGGGUGAGAGACCUUUUUCAUGUAAAAUCUGUGGGAAAUGUUUCACUCAAAGUAAUAAUUUGUCGAGACACCAAAGAACUCACACAGGUGAGAAGUUGUUUUCUUGUGAAAUAUGUGGCAAAGAUUUCACUCAGAGUGGCAGUUUGGUGAUCCACAGAAGAAUCCACACAGGUGAGAGGCCCUAUUCCUGUGAGAUAUGUGCCAAAUGUUUCCAUAGCAAAGGUGAUUUAAAUUCCCACAAGAAAACUCACUAUAGUUAGAAACCCUGUUUUUAGUUAGAAAGAUGUCAUUGUACCUUCCAGUGGAAUAGCAAAUAUAUUUUAGUAGUGUUGUUAUAGUUUAAGUGAGUUCUGGCUGCAGAGAUUUAAAAACAACCAUGAAAAUAAUCAGUACACACGCUUCACAUCGUUGUCAUGGUUACUGAUCUUUUUCAUUCUUACCAGACUUGGCAUAAAGGUUUAAAAGUGUGUGUUUGUCGGGAUCAGUAUCGUCCCCUUUAUUUUUAAAAUAUUUACAAGCUAUUAAAUAUCAUAAUUAAUAGAAACAUGAGUGCAAAAAAAUACAUAAAAUGCAAUGAAUUAGUUCAAAUAAACAGAAUGUAGUUAUUGCACAGAAGGACCGGCUUUAUUGGACGUCUUCAGCGGUUCUUAUCGGUGUGAUUUUGAAUUGUUUGAUGUGCUCACUGCUCUGGGAAAGAAACGGUCUCCUGGUCUGUCAGUCAAACAGAGCGAAACUACAUUUUAGAGCUUUUUAAAAUGGAUAACUUUCUACAGCAGACCGUGAUGGUUUCACUUUAUUUUUUUCUUAUUUUAUGUUGUUAAUGUGUUUAAUUAUUUGCAUUUUCAGCUUUAAUGUUUAACGUGUAUACGUUGCCUGUCAUCCGCAACGUGUUUCUGUUUGUUAGAUCACGAUUUUAUUCAUUUUAACAAACAAAAAAUUUCUGGGUGUUUGGCAAACAAUGAAUUGAUGCAUGUUCAGAGUCGAUAAUAAUUUACAGUGUUUAUUUCUCCACAGCCUGCAGAAAAAAUUAUAUAUCAGUGAUGUUUGUCUGUGUUCAGGUUUUCUUUCUAAACUUCAUCAGCUUCAGUGACAAAAGACUCUUUAUUCCCUAAUUUUUUUUCAAAUUAAUUCGCUUUAAAAGCUUGUUCAAUAAAUAUAUUAUGUUUUUUUUAUUGUUUAAAAUGAACUUGGAACGUGAAUUUACUAUCCAUGAUUAAAGAUGUAAAACAAACUUACAAUCUGAUGCCAGCUGUACUACAAAUAAAACUAGAAAAAAACACCAGGUGUCUUCUUAUUAUGCAGGGCUGGAAAUUGGAUUCACGUUUUGGACAGUUUGCAUUUCCUGUAAAGAACUGUUAAACAUCUGAACCUUUUGUUUUACCAAAAAAAUAAAUAAAUAAAAAUACUACUAGUGUAAAAAUAAAAAAAAUUGCCUAUUUAAUUUCCAUCAUUUCAACAAUCAAACCAGAAAGUUGAAAUCCUUUAGUUUUCCCUUUCUUACUUGUCUGGUGAGCAUUUGGCUUCAUACCUGUGUUUAUUCUGUCAUGUUGCUCCAAAUUUAGCUAAAUUUUAAAGGUUUUUCCACUAACAUCACACAUCAAAAUCUUUUUACUUGUCUCAGUAUCGAACCACUCACUCUGAAACAGGAGUGUUGUCUUAAUGGACCUAAAAGUGAAUGUUACGUAAAGCUCUAAAUAGGAUCUUUCAUGAUGUUCAUUCAGAUCAUCAUAGCGUUCUCUACUCUGGUUAUAACUUCCUCUGUGGUUUCCAGGUGAUAUCCAGCAGUCUGCGCUGACCGUCCGUCUCUUCUUUGUAUUGGACGAUGAGUUUUUUCGAGCUCUGUGCAUUUUUCUUCAGCAGUACACGCUGAACUGAAGACAUUGCUGAAACAGCUGAGAGACGACAAGACCCCCGUGGGUCCGCACACGUAGGAACGGGCGCCACGCCCACUGUCGGAAUGUUUCGGUGUGACACCGAGCGGAAGUAAACACAUCACUAGCGGUGCAUGUCUGGACUGAUCUUGAAGACGAUUGUUUUGUCGUAUAUCAGCUGAAUAUUUCAGUGUUACAGCAACAAUGUCUUCAGUUCAGCAUCUGAGAGAGUUUAUCAGCGAGCGACUAACUGCUGCUGCUGAAGAAAUAUUCACAGAGUUUGAAAAAACCAUCGUCCAGUACGAAGAAGAGAUCCAUCAUCAGCGCAGACUGCUGGAUACCACCUGGAAACCACAAAUAAAGUUAGAUAAAAAAGGCCUCCCACAGCAACAUGUCUGUCAGGAGGAAAUUUUCACUGACCAGGAGAAGAGCUCCAGUCUGGACCAGGAGGACUUUCCAGAUGUUAAAGACGAACAGGAGGAACUUUGCACCAGACAGGAAGGAGAGCAUCUAGUACUGAAACAGGAGCAUGACUUGGUGUUGAUUUCCAUUGAUCAACAAAGUCAUGUCAGUGAAGAAGAACCAAACACUCAUCAGCUUUACUCGCAUAACUCUUCCUCAAAUAAAAGCCAAGAUAAGGAGGGAAACAAGCACAUAGACUUAGGAUCAAUCCGAGAUGAAAAGAUGAAACAAAAAAAGAGACAUCAAAGAAAAAGUGAUGAUGAAGACUCUCCCGUUUCAGAGGGUCAGUUUGAUUCUGAUAAACAAUCUGUAGAGCAUGGUGUUGGUGGAAAACCUUUUGGGAAUGAGACAACUGUGGAGUUGAAUGACAAAAUCCAUACAGGUGUGAAAGAGGCUUUCCAGCCGUGUACGACAACACUGAGUGAAGGUUGUACUUUGAUUAGUCACUCAAAAAUCCCAAAAGUUGAGAACUUUCAUUCUUCUGAAAGAUGUGGGGAAAAUGUUUCUAAAAGUAACUUUCUCUUAACUCACAUGAGAACCCGCACAGAUGAGAGGCCUUUUUCAUGUAAAAUAUGUGGGAAAGCUUUCAGUACACAAGGUAAUUUGUUGGUUCACAUGAGAGUCCACACUGGAGAGAGGAUGUAUUCUUGUAAAACAUGCGGCAAAGGUUUCACUCAGCGGGGCAAUUUGUUGAGACACAUGAGAACCCACACCGGUGAGAGGCCUUUCACAUGUGGAACAUGUGGGAAGAAAUUCAGCCAGGGUGCACAUUUGUUUACCCACAUGAGAAUCCACACUGGAGAAAAACCCUAUUCUUGUGGAACAUGUGGAAAAGGUUUCACUAGAAGAGGUUCUCUGAGAAGUCAUUUGAAAGUCCACACAAGUGAGAAGUGAUAUUCUUUUGAAACACUUGGAAAGUUGUGGUCUGUGGUUGUUAACCGGGUUACUUUUUAACUCAUAUAUGCAAAGUAGUGGAGUGGUUAGCGCUUUCACAUCACAGCAUCUCACAGAACUCUGGUGGAGAACUCCAGCUGGAAAGAUCAACAACCAGCAUGGUGGCGAGUAUAUGUGCUCUGCGUGGGUGUGUUGAAAAGAUUUAUUUGCACUGUUAUUUUUGUUCAACAUGUCUUCCAAACUGGAUUUGAACUCAGCAGUCAAGGCAUGUUUUUUCCUCAGUACAGCUUAUAUCAUUUCAAUGACUUUGAGUGAAUCACACUUUUAUUACCUCACUUUUAGAUCAUUGGAAUUCUAUAUUCUAUAUGAUUGUUUUGGUCAAUCAUCACUUCCUCGCCUGCAGUCUCGCCUGCAGCAGCAGUGAUCACAUCACAGCUGUACUGGCCUCUAACUUACCUGUCUAUUUUUGACAGCCUCACCCUCCAUCCAGAGCACUGAGGUUUAUGAAUCAGUUGCGUUUGGAUGUUCCUUGAUCCAGGCUGAAAGGUGGAGGUGAUGGAGCCUUUUCAGAUGUGGUCCUAAACAACCUGCCUGUUUUCAUUUUACUCUGCUGACAACUCAUAUCUUCUUGGUGGCUUUUGGACUUGGUUGAGUAGCAUACACUACUCACAAAAAGUCAGAAACUUAAAAUGCACUUUAACCUUUAUUAGUUAACUUAAUUUGACUUUCUUGAAAAAUUUGAAUCCACAUUUUGCAACUGUUCAGUGUGCUUCUUGUAUAACGUGCUGUUAGUUCAAUGAGCACUUGUAUUUCAACAGUCCAAUUUUGUGAGUAGUGUAUCUUGGACUUCAUGCAAGCAUUAUGUUUUUUUCUUGUUAUUUUACCCAUUUUUAAAAAAAACUGUUUUGCUGUUUAUUUGAACCUGUAUUAAUUGCUGCCUUAGAGAUGGUAAAGUGUUUUUUUAUACUCA